AUCUCGGAUCAUUGUGCUGUGAGGGCAGGAGGACCCUUCUUUUGGAAAGCGGAAAACGGGACUACCUGAUCUAUCGGUGUCCCAUGGAACCACACUGCCCCCUGUGGUCAGAACCACCCGGGAUGCAGAACAGCAAGGACCGCAAACUUGGGUGCAGAGGGCUUUCCUCCACACAACCUGGGAAGCUCCGUGAUUGGCAAACGGCUCUGUCAGGAUCCAUCGAGUCAGCAAACAUAGGUGCCUCUAGGAUGCAAGCCAGAGAACAGGGCUGUUUGUGGCUUGCUGGUAGCCAAGCAAAAUGCCCCGAUCCAUCAGGUGAGCUGAUGAUGAGCUUGCAGGCAUGGAGAAUGUAGCACUGAGGCAGAGUGGCAGCCAGCCUUAAAGGUUUGUUGUGUCUUCCACUGCUUCCCUGGCCCCGCCUUCUUUUGGAACGGAGCCCUGAUUCCAAGGAGUGCAGGCCCUGCCAGACAGCCUCCGUCCCUACCUGUCCCUCCAGGUUUAGACCUUGCAUGGUCCUCUCUCCGCAUCCCUCCUUCCUGCCUGCAUGCCUACACCCUAAAUGUUCUCUCUGCUCUAUUCACUAGCACAGGCUGCUUCCCUUCCUUUGAGAAUCUACUCCAGUCCACUUCCUCCUCAGUCCUACCCUCCCAAGGACCCUCCCUGAGGCUGGAGUCCUGCCGGCCUCCUACCACACUGGAUAACUUGGCAUUGCUCUCGUUUCUCCUUGCAGGAGACUGGCUUCUCCAGGGUGGUCUGAGAUCUUUGGAGGGAAAGACUGUGCCUUGCCUUCUCCUUCCAUCUCUUCUCAUGCUCAUAGAGUCAGGGAGCUGAGAGGACACCAGCCCAUCUCUCCCCUGGAGCCUCUAAGCACCUCUCCCUUCCUGCUUUCCAAAUGCCUCUGUAACACCACGGUGCUGGGUGCAUGGGACUGAGGGCCUCCCUCGGGGCCCCUUCUCAUCCUGGGCUACGCCAAGACUUGGACCCCAUGUGGAACACAGUCAGCCUUCUGAUGAAUCCAGAAAGCAUUUCUCCAACAUUCAGUUGUGAGCUUAAGGGAAUUAAACUUCUCUUUCUGAAAAUAAGCUGCAGAUUAUCCUGAGAGAGGCCCAAACAGGCAGGAGACUCUGAAUAUGGCUGCAAGAGCUUAGGCUGUUACUGCGCCUCCUAGGUGCCAGCCCACGUGGGCAGGCUUUUCCGCCCACCACCCCCACCCAGGUCAGCCUGGCCACAGAAGGUCUGGGCUGGAGUUUCUCACCUUGCGGAGUUCAGGCAGCAAAACUCCUGCAAUUAUGCUCUGCUUCAGGUGGAGGGUGUUCAAAUAAAAAUGCCUGACGGAAUAUCUCUGAACCAUAUAGCUAGCUACCUGUGAACACUGUGGUUUUCAACCCAGGAUAGAGCAGGGUUUUGGAGACACUCAGUGGGAAUAAAGUAAAGCAAGGCUCUCUGUGACUGCAGGUUACAGAACAAGCUCGGUAGCACGGGCUCAGUGAGCCUCAGGAUGUCCUCUUUCCCCCUACCACAGACACGUGCAGACUUGGCCUCCCCUGCAGCCCUCACCAGCCCCUAUGCUCACUGUCCCUGCUUGCCCAGGAGCUCCAGCACAUCCCAGGCUCUGCCAUAUGCACACAGUUCCCUCUGUCCCCAGCUCCCUCUCCCUGUGUCUGCGUGCUUAAUUUCCCACUGGCCAGGCUCAGACUGAGGUUCUCCCUAGGCUGUUGGUUUAAAAAAAAAAAAAAAAAGCGUUGAAAACAAACUGGAAUUUCAGUCCUUGCUUUGCCACUUACUAGCUGGGUGAUCUUAACAUAGUGGUUGGGAGAUCCCAGUUCUGCUAGCUGUGUGGCCUUGGGCAAGUUACCUAACCUCUCUGUGCCUCAGCCUUGCUGUCUAUAAAACGGAGAUAAGAGCACCCAUGCAUUGUACUGGGUAUAGUUGUGAGGAUUAAAUAAAGGUGAUAACGGUGAAUGUCUUGCACAUGGUAGGGGUAAGCUAACUUAGAGAUGGACUACCGCUCCCCCAUCCUACCUCUGGCAGCAGCCCCUCCCACUACAGCAUCUCCCACUGGGCAGCUCUGUGGCCCAGCUCACCUUGCCCUCAAUUUUUUACCUUGGAACCGAAUUCAUUCUCUAGUUGCUGACCUUUGUUAGUGCAUCUCCUGCUUCCAUCAUGCAUUUUCCCUGGACAGAAUCUCUCUCCUGAUCUCCUGCAGUGAUUCAUCUGAUAACUGGACCGGAAGUGCCCUCCCUGACACAAGGCCCCUCACGCUGUGCUCCUGGCUGCCGUCCUCUCCGGCCUCACUGAAUUGUUCACCUCCUUAAGCAACUGCCUCUUCAGAAACCCAGGCCUAGGUAAGUGCGGUUCCUGCAGCCUGGAGUGCCACGCCGUCCCUUCUCUGUCUGGGGAACUCCUAUUCAUUAGGAGUCAGGCCAGAUGUCCUCCUCUUGGAAAUCCUUCCCAGCUUCAGGGCUCUGCCCUUGACUCCCACGGCCAUGGGUCAAUGUUUGCCCUCCCUGGACUGUGACCUCCGGGAAGUAGGCUCGGAUCCCCAGCGUCCUAUACACAGCAGGGGCCGGGGCAUGUCUAAGUUAAGGUGUGAGUUGAUAGGGCAGCCUGACUGAGCUGCCUGUGCAGAGGAUCUGAAUUCCUACAGACAUGACCACUUCUGCAUAAGUCUUGGUUUGCCGUUCUGCAAAAUGGUCACACCACCUUCCCCACGGCUGCCAAGGGCUGGGCUCCAGCUGUCCAGCAGCACCGAUCUGACACACAGGAGACUCGCUGAGUCCUCUUACCCCUUUCUGGUUGGCUCAGGCUUCCCACCUUCGCUGUGGGUAUGGUCAGCUCCAACCUCAUUUUUGUUGUUCUUGUUAAGUCAAAGAUAUAAAAACCUUCAUUAUCAACUGGCUUAGAGAUCCUAAAUCAUCCUUUUAAGGGUGAAAAAAAAAAAUCUAUCUUAUUGGUUGUUAGACACAGCAGUGACUCUCUUCGUUGCUAUGGUGAUUCUUUGACACCCCCUCUUGCAGAUUAGAAAUGCCUCACAUUUUUCUAAGUCUGGCUGCCCCCCACAAACAGGGAUUUCUGGCCCGGCAGUUCCCACUCCCAAACAGGAAGGGGAGGGCCUGGCAGCCUCUGGGGAUUGCAGUUGUGGCCUCAGCUGUCAGAAGUGAACCUAACCUUCCUGUGUCAGGGCCUCGGUCAAGUUUGGAGAUGAUCCCAUAUGCACUUCUGUAUUUAACUGGGCAGUCUUCUGACAGAGGUGGUACGUAAAGCCAAAACGUCCCCAAGCUACUUGUCCAGGACACCUGCUCCUGGAAUUUCUCCAAGUUAACUCUUGUGUGAGCAAAGCUACAUGAAAUUCACUGGCACCCUGUGGCUUCGCGUCUGUCACUCACUCACACACACGUGCGCGCGCUCUCUCUCCUGACAUAGCUCUGGUAACUGUGGAGGUAGUCCUCAAGGUGGAAAUCUACUCUCAAGAUAAAGACGGUUUCCUCCCCCUUCUUGUCCACCUUCCUCCCGUUCCCAUGAGUCCUCCACACAGGUUUGUUCCUUUAAAGGUUUAUUUCUGGCAAAUAAAAAAAAUAACUUAUGUGGUUAGAUAAAUUAAUGUAUGUGAUUAGACAGGACACAGGGCAGAGCUGAACGUUCCUGUUUUCUUCUGGAUCUUGAAGGCUGGUGAGAGGCAGCUGAAUGAGACCCAGCCUCGUGUUUUGUGGGAUGAAGAGAUGCAGAUAAAGUGACUCAGGUACAUUGAUGCUCCCUGGAGGGCUGGGAGGUGGGCUCAGAGGAAGAGGCCGAAUCCAAACCUUUUUUAUUGAGAAGAAAUAGUUCUUCUUUGUAGCUUAAAAAGAAAAAACCGAAGCUCUGCACAGAGUCAUCCGUAAUGACCAUAAACAUAACAUACCAAGCACAGGCUCAGAAAGAUGGAGCAACAGACUGAGGACAUUUUCAACAUGGUACUUGGGGAUACCUUUGGGAAAGAUGCCUUCCCCAGCAGAGGCCAGCACUGUGGAGAGAGAGGACCAGAGCCACUACUAGCACAGUUGUCAAGGUCUUUUGCUUUCUGAACUCUGGGGACCACUGCCUUUUAGCCUGAGGUGAACGUCUCCAAAUUUCUUGGGUUUGGUAAGUCUCAGAAGCAGCCAGCCCCUCGGUCAACGGAGGGUACCUUUCCUUCAGGAAUCUGAGAAUGGAACAUGCAGAUAGUCUGUGCUGGGGGUCUUAAGGCCAGGAUCCCAGAAGCCUUUCCGGAGCCCAGAACCUGAAAGCUGGGAGAGAAGAUUCUGGCGACUACCUGCCAGGGAGGAAACCAAGGCUCCGCAGGGAGCAGCCUGCGAGUUCCCCAGGAGCAGAGCCCAUGGCUUGCUCACCACUUCUGACCUGUGUCUGGUUGCUUCAUGAGGUGUUGCUGGCCUUGGCAUCACUUUGGAGGUGGGGUUUACUCUCAGGCUAUGGUGAAUUUUGGUUAUAAUUUUUGAUGAAUUAGGAACAGGCUUUAGUUGCCUGUGAACGUACUGACUAAGACAGCCGGAAAGCAAGCAGGUGAGACCCAGGAGAAGCUCAAAGCGUUUUCCCUGAUAAAAGCGUGUGCCAUGAGGUUACAGGCAGCUCACUUCUUAAGGCCCAUGCACAGAUUGCAGGCUGGGCAGCUGCCUCUGCAGCCGACCUGGAGGGACUGCGAUGACCGACUGCAGGGCCAACCAGGAAUUGAGGAACCUGCCUGCACAGACGGCCAGGGCCACAGCUGGCUGGACACC